ACCCCGGUGCGUGACGUAAUCUGAGGCGCGCCUUCGCGCCGUCGUCCGGGGAGGGUUUUUUCCCUUCUAACCACCCGCGCUCUCACACUUUGCCUCCGCUCCGCCGUUUCCAUGGCUCCGGUUUCCUACUUUCCUCUUGUCUCCUCCGUCCUCAGCCUGUUCUGCAAUGUGGGAUUUACUAGAAGAGCAGGGCUGGUGUUCGAGGAGGAGAAGUUGAAAUCCUAGAGGGAGGAAGGCGGGGAAGCCAAUACUACUUGCUAUUUCCACUGCAAUGAACGUCUCUGUGUCAUCAAAAUAAGAACUUCAACCCCAAGGUUGAAACAGCCAAGCAGAAUUUGAUGGAAAUAUAUUUAGGAACAGCUAAAUUAGCAGUGCGACGCGUGUUUUCUUUUCAUUGAAGAAUUCAGCCAGUUAAAACGAGUCUAAAUGGAAGUCUGAAAGCUUUUUCUUCAUUGUUGAGGAAUAAAAUAUUUCGUGUAUUUUUCGUUUUCCAGAUUCAUUCAUUUAACAAAUAUCAAUUGAGCACUUUCCAUGCCGUAGGGCCUGUACAAGGCGCAUAGCAUUCUAGACAUCUGAAGCAUCAAAACUAAUCAUUUUUAUUUUGAAGAAAAUCACUCAAAAUAUUUUAUGUACUUUAUGCCUUUCAUUAACAGAAUAUUCCAAGCAUUCUCCGCAAAAUACGCAUGAAAACAAUUGGGAGAGAAGAGGUCAAUUAUCUUUGAGAAGCCCAAUUACAGAAUGAAAUUCAAUUCAUUAUUAAAAAUACAUGGAUCUAAUAAAGAAUAAAUAAUUGGAAAAGAAAAGUUUAAGGAAGAGAGAAACGGGAAUGAGAAACAAUUACUGUGGGCUCCCAAUGGCCUGGAGUGAAUCACCAAAGUAACCUAAACAUGAAGUCAUGAAAAACUAAGUGGAUUCUGCCUUUUAGUACUUCCCAUCAUGGGGGAAGUCACCAGCGACCUCCUUACUGUAUUUUGGAUGAUUCAAGAAAUAGAAAGGUGUCCUACUGACUUCUGAAACAGGGUGUCUUCAUAUUGAUUAGGGUCACCGUAAGCCUGGGAGCUGAUGCUUACUCUCAGGCCAUUCUAAAGUCCUACAGUAUCCAGAUGAGAAACAAGAGAAAGCAUAAGCUUUGGAGUCCAAAGAUCAGGAUUUUAUCGUCAGCACUCCACACCUUAGCUAUAUAAUCUCAAAGCAGCCUGCACCUGUGGCCUCAUGGCGCAUUCUCUACAAUCAGUUGACAGAGGAAGAGAAGACUCAGGCCUCGUUUACAGAUGAUUUUGCAUUCUAUGCAGAUCUUAUCACAAUGAAUAAUUUGGUUCUCUCAUCGACUACACGAGGACAGUCAUACUAUCUGCGAUGUGAAGCUAAUAUGCAAAAUUCACGGCACAGUGCCCACCCUAAUAACCAUCAGGAUCCAAGGAAUUCACAUACAGUGUACACACGUUGUCAUAGAAACAAUCUAAACAUAAAAACAAUCUCAACAGAAUGCUUAAAAACAAAAAAACCCGGUACCGAUUAUUUUACGGAGUCAUAGAGGCAUCAACGGCACUGAAAAUGUAUUAGCUGCAUUCAGCUCAUCAAGAACAAUCUUCAACUCCCUCCACCUGACUCGAUCAUGCCUGACUGUGAUGGAAACUGUAGUAGUGUCAAGUCAACCGAUGUUUGACUCGGGAGGGCAUUUCGCAAAUAUUUUUCUUAAAUAUCACCUUACCGUAUUUUUCUUAAGGUGGUUACAAAAUUAAUCUGCAGCCCACCACCCAAAGCUACAGUGCCGAAGGCCGUGUGAUGAGCAGAGAAACUGAGCCUUCUACUGUUAACCAAUAUGGAAGAGAGUAACUGCGCCUGAGAGGAAAUUACGGCAGCGGAAACGCGGGUAUCCUACGUUUAAGAAAUCCCCCAACUGAGGCAGAAAAAGGCCAAGUUAUUUGUGUGAUGCACGUGAACCGCCCGAGCUGGUCACUAAUGAAGUGGAUUCGCCCUAUUCCUGGCGACUCUACAAGGUUGGAGACCCCCGUAGACCUCUACAGCCAUCGCCCCUUGCUGCAGACCCCCAAAGUCACCGACAGCCUUACCUGGACCUGACCUUCCUCACCCACGCGCCCUCGUCCCGGAAGGCCCGCCCCCUACCCGGCUCCAAGCUCGCGCAGGCAACUAUUACGGGGAGCAGUAGAGAAACGGAAGCUUGGCAGCUAGAGCGGAGCCCUAGUGAACGACCCGGAGUUACUGGCUCCCCCUCCUGAGGCCUCCGAGGUGUACCUGGCGCCUGCGCAGUAAGGCUAGCGCCGCCGCCUGUGCGGAGGACCCGGGGAGGUGGUGGGCUGGGGAGAGUUAGGGAGGUCUGGCUCUCCUGGAAGGGCUUGCACGGUUCGGUAGUAUGUUUUGGUGGGAAUGGCUACAGACCUGCCUCCAAAAGCUCUGAAGCAAUGGCGAUGCGUGUGCCGUGUGGUCUUUCUGACCGACUUGCGGCGCCAUCCCCCUCCCCUUCCAUCUAUCUGCUCAUCUUCUAAUAGUUAAUUAGGAUCCCCAGCUGCAAGCCUUCCUUGCUACUGGGUUAGGAGCACUUUCCCCCAUUGACCCAGGAGCUUCUUCAGGGAGUAGGGGAUGGAACGUUUGUCUCCUCAGUAGUUAUCUUAGAUCUCGCUAGGCAUAUAGUAGAAAACAUUGUGAGUAUUUCACCCCAUACUAAAUCUGUUUUCAAGCAAGCCACAUCCCAUAGGCAUUGUAUGCAGCACUUACUCAAUGUUUGAUAGUUUGGGUGAGGAAACUGUACUAGUUUUCUGAGUAUCGUUCAAGGCAUUUUAUAAAUAUUUCAAAAUGUACCCUGGAAUUAAUAUCGGUAGUGAGUUGCCUACCUAGUGGGUAUUGUAUUUACACCCUCUUUCCUCCUACAGAAUUUACUUUUAAGUUAGAAUUUGACGUCUAAUCAAUCUAUGCUAUAGGAUUUGCUUUUAUCAAGUUAAGUUUUGACAUGUUAUCAGCCUUAUAUGAUAUAGUAAACAGCCUUAUAAAGUUGGGUCUAGUGACUACAUUUAAGUUUACAAAGGGGUAAUGAGUAUCCUAUACAUGGCUACAGUCCAGAAAAGAAGUCCUAAGGAGCGAAACUCCUGGGAGAAAUUUCGUCUUGUCUUUUGUACUUGUUUCUGUGGAGUUGGCUUGUUUUUAUGUAAUGGCCACUGAAUCAUAUAAACAAGAAGACUUCCUUUACGUGUAAGCUGCUGGUUUAAAGCCAAAUUUUAAUUGGCUCGAGGCAAGAGCUAUAUAUAUAUGUGUGUAUAUUUUGCAUAAACCUUGUUGGCUUCGUUUUGUAUAUCCUUCCUGUUUUUUCCUUUUCACGUAUGAAUUAUUGGUGUUAUCAAUGUUUUGUGAAUUACUAUAAGCUACCAUAAAUCUUUCUUGAAACAUAGCUAGGUAUAUAGAGUUUCAGGUGACUGUUUAGGUACUUUGCACUAUCACUUUUAUUAAGUCAAUUUCAUGGGGUUCAUAUUAGUUUCCUGAGGCUGCUAUAAUAAAAUACCACAAACUC